CCUGUAGAUCCUACGGGAGGCAGCAGUGGGGAAUUUUGGACAAUGGGCGCAAGCCUGAUCCAGCCAUGCCGCGUGUCUGAAGAAGGCCUUCGGGUUGUAAAGGACUUUUGUCAGGGAAGAAAAGGCUGUUGCUAAUAUCAGCGGCUGAUGACGGUACCUGAAGAAUAAGCACCGGCUAGCUACGUGCCAGCAGCCGCGGUAAUACGUAGGGUGCGAGCGUUAAUCGGAAUUACUGGGCGUAAAGCGAGCGCAGACGGUUACUUAAGCAGGAUGGGAAAUCCCCGGGCUCAGCCUGGGAACUGCGUUCUGAACUGGGUGACUAGAGUGUGUCAGAGGGAGGUAGAAUUCCACGUGUAGCAGUGAAAUGCGUAGAGAUGUGGAGGAAUACCGAUGGCGAAGGCAGCCUCCUGGGAUAACACUGACGUUCAUGCUCGAAAGCGUGGGUAGCAAACAGGAUUAGAAACCCCAGUAGUCCAGAAGUG
rnacentral:rRNA from 1 species